rnacentral:rRNA from 1 species
AACGAACGCUGGCGGCAUGCCUAACACAUGCAAGUCGAACGAGACCUUCGGGUCUAGUGGCGCACGGGUGCGUAACGCGUGGGAACCUGCCCUUAGGUUCGGAAUAACUCCCCGAAAGGGGUGCUAAUACCGGAUAAUGUCUUCGGACCAAAGAUUUAUCGCCCUUGGAUGGGCCCGCGUUGGAUUAGCUAGUUGGUAGGGUAAAAGCCUACCAAGGCGACGAUCCAUAGCUGGUCUGAGAGGAAGAUCAGCCACACUGAGACUGAGACGCGGCCCAGACUCCUACGGGAAGGAGGAGUGGGGAAUAUUGGAAAAUGGGCGAAAGCCUGAUGCAGCAAUGCCGCGUGAGUGAUGAAGGCCUUAGGGUUGUAAAGCUCUUUUACCCGGGAUGAUAAUGACAGUACCGGGAGAAUAAGCUCCGGCUAACUCCGUG